rnacentral:rRNA from 1 species
AGCUCCAAUAGCGUAUAUUAAAGUUGUUGCAGUUAAAAAGCUCGUAGUUGGAUCUCGGGUCCAGGCUGGCGGUCCACCUCGCGGUGGUUACUGCCUGUCCUGACCUACCUGCCGGUUCUCUCUUGGUGCUCUUGACUGAGUGUCUCGAGUGGCCGGGACGUUUACUUUGAAAAAAUUAGAGUGUUCAAAGCAGGCAAUUCGCCUGAAUAAUGGUGCAUGGAAUAAUGGAAUAGGACCUCGGUUCUAUUUUGUUGGUUUUCGGAACUCGAGGUAAUGAUUAAGAGGGACAGACGGGGGCAUUCGUAUUACGGUGUUAGAGGUGAAAUUCUUGGAUCGCCGUAAGACGAACUACUGCGAAAGCAUUUGCCAAGAAUGUUUUCA